rnacentral:rRNA from 1 species
GACGAACGCUGGCGGCGUGCUUAACACAUGCAAGUCGAACGGAAAGGCCCUGCUUUUGUGGGGUGCUCGAGUGGCGAACGGGUGAGUAACACGUGAGUAACCUGCCCUUGACUUUGGGAUAACUUCAGGAAACUUGGGCUAAUACCGGAUAGGAGCUCCUGCUGCAUGGUGGGGGUUGGAAAGUUUCGGCGGUUGGGGAUGGACUCGCGGCUUAUCAGCUUGUUGGUGGGGUAGUGGCUUACCAAGGCUUUGACGGGUAGCCGGCCUGAGAGGGUGACCGGCCACAUUGGGACUGAGAUACGGCACAGACUCCUACGGGAGGCAGCAGUGGGGAAUAUUGCACAAUGGGCGGAAGCCUGAUGCAGCAACGCCGCGUGCGGGAUGACGGCAUUCGGGUUGUAAACCGCUUUCGCCUGUGACGAAGCGUGAGUGACGGUAAUGGGUAAAGAAGCACCGGCUAACUACGUG